AGCGAACGUUGGCGGCGUGCCUAACACAUGCAAGUCGAACGCGUCUCGGGGGGCAACUCCCGAGAUGAGUGGCAAACGGGUGAGUAACACGUGGGUAAUCUUCCCUCGAGUGUGGAAUAAGCUCGCGAAAGCGGGUCUAAUACCGCAUGAAGCUUUGGGGCAUAUGCCUUCAGAGUCAAAGCCGUAAGGCGCUUGAGGAUGAGCCUGCGUCCUAUUAGCUAGUUGGUAGGGUAAAAGCCUACCAAGGUUAUAAUGGGUAGCCGGCCUGAGAGGGUGUACGGCCACACUGGGACUGAGACACGGCCCAGACUCCUACGGGAGGCAG
rnacentral:rRNA from 1 species